CGGAACGUGCCCAGUCGUGGGGGAUAACGCAGCGAAAGCUGCGCUAAUACCGCAUACGAUCUGUGGAUGAAAGCGGGGGACCUUCGGGCCUCGCGCGAUUGGAGCGGCCGAUGUCAGAUUAGGUAGUUGGUGGGGUAAAGGCCCACCAAGCCAACGAUCUGUAGCUGGUCUGAGAGGACGACCAGCCACACUGGAACUGAGACACGGUCCAGACUCCUACGGGAGGCAGCAGUGGGGAAUUUUGGACAAUGGGCGCAAGCCUGAUCCAGCAAUGCCGCGUGCAGGAAGAAGGCCUUCGGGUUGUAAACUGCUUUUGUACGGAACGAAACGGUUUGAGUUAAUACCUCGGGCUAAUGACGGUACCGUAAGAAUAAGCACCGGCUAACUACGUGCCAGCAGCCGCGGUAAUACGUAGGGUGCAAGCGUUAAUCGGAAUUACUGGGCGUAAAGCGUGCGCAGGCGGUGAUGUAAGACAGUCGUGAAAUCCCCGGGCUCAACCUGGGAAUUGCGAUUGUGACUGCAUCGCUGGAGUGCGGCAGAGGGGGAUGGAAUUCCGCGUGUAGCAGUGAAAUGCGUAGAUAUGCGGAGGAACACCGAUGGCGAAGGCAAUCCCCUGGGCCUGCACUGACGCUCAUGCACGAAAGCGUGGGAGCAAACAGGAUUAGAUACCCUGGUAGUCCACGCCCUAAACGAUGUCAACUGGUUGUUGGGUCUCUUCUGACUCAGUAACGAAGCUAACGCGUGAAGUUGACCGCCUGGGGAGUACGGCCGCAAGGUUGAAACUCAAAGGAAUUGACGGG
rnacentral:rRNA from 1 species